rnacentral:rRNA from 1 species
UGCGUAGGUGGCCUUUUAAGUUGGAUGUGAAAUACCCGGGCUUAACUUGGGGGUGCAUCUAAUACUGGGAGGCUAGAGUGCAGGAGAGGGAAGCGGAAUUCCUAGUGUAGCGGUGAAAUGCGUAGAUAUUAGGAGGAACACCAGUGGCGAAGGCGGCUCUCUGGACUGUAACUGACACUGAGGCACGAAAGCGUGGGGAGCAAACA